GCCCUGCUGGCGCAAUUGGCAGCGCGCAAGACUUCUAUACUUCUUCAGAGAAGGUUAUCUUGAGGUUGCGGGUUCGAAUCCCGCGUGGGGUG